GGCUUUAGUUGUGAAAAUAGCAUUUGUUUUAGGUAAACCCUGCUUUGCUUUUCGUUUGGGAUAAACUGUCAGAGUGAGACGCCUGUCAUUCCAGUUAAGUUUCGUUUUUAAAUUUAAGUUAGAGUGAGUGCUCUCACCGUGUUGUCUUUUGUUUAAUCGAGCACAUUUUCACCGGAGAUGCGGCCAUGUUCAUGCUGAGUCAGCUCUGUGUGCGCGAGUGUUGUGAUUCUUCCGUCUUUUUACAAAUAAUCAUACAAGUUAUUAUCAAGAGGAAGAGAAAUUAAAGAAGCAACUUUUAAUUCAUCUUGGCAGUGCUUGUAUUUGUUCGCUGGCUGUCUAGCAGCAUAAAGUCACGUGCAGUGAGGACAGCACACUAUUUAUUUUCUUUAUUUCAGAAACACAUCAGAAUAUUUAUUAACUAACUCUUAAAAAAAUAUGAUUUUUUAAAAUGAAAGUUCAAGUAAGGUUUCCUUUUUUCUCGUUGCUUUAACACACAUCAGGAAAAGGUGACAUAUAUUCUUUGAAACACUUAAAUUAUUUUUGAUUAAAAAAAAUGUUUAUGAAGAGGAAAUCUUUCAAAACAUAACUAAUGAUGGGAAAAAUGCUUUUAGCUUUUAGCUCCUCUUCAUUUAAAAAAAGGCGGUUUAAAAAAAUGAGAAGAAGAUACCAUGAUUUGUCUUUUUUGCCACAGUGUAGGAACCAGUAAUGUAUUUUUUGGAUGUCUAUAGAAAUAAGUCUUAAUUUUUUGCAUCAAAAGGACAAAAUAAUGAUUAAAAAUAAAAAAUAAACUAAAAA